rnacentral:rRNA from 1 species
ACCGUAUCGUAGGGCGCGAGCGUUGUCCGGAAUUAUUGGGCGUAAAGGGCUCGUAGGCGGCUGGUCGCGUCUGUCGUGAAAUCCUCUGGCUCAACUGGGGGCUUGCGGUGGGUACGGGCUGGCUUGAGUGCGGUAGGGGAGAUUGGAACUCGUGGUGUAGCGGUGGAAUGCGCAGAUAUCAGGAAGAACACCGAUGGCGAAGGCAGGUCUCUGGGCCGUCACUGACGCUGAUGAGCGAGGGCGUGGGGAGCGAACAGGAUUAGAUACCCUGGUAGUCCACGCCGUAAACGUUGGGCACUAGGUGUGGGGUUUGUCUUUAUGGCUGGUUCCGCGCCGUAGCUAACGCAUUAAGUGCCCCGCCUGGGGAGUACGGCCGCAAGGCUAAAACUCAAAGGAAUUGACGGGGCCCCGCACAAGCGGCGGAGCAUGCGGAUUAAUUCGAUGCAACGCGAAGAACCUUACCAAGGCUUGAAAUGCGAGGAAAUCCGGUGGAGACAUCGGGUCGGUUUUGUCCGGUCUCGUGCAGGUGGUGCAUGGUUGUCGUCAGCUCGUGUCGUGAGAUGUUGGGUUAAGUCCCGCAACGAGCGCAACCCUUGUCUUAUGUUGCCAGCGGUUCGGCCGGGGACUCAUGAGAGACUGCCGGGGUUAACUCGGAGGAAGGUGGGGAUGACGUCAAAUCAUCAUGCCCCUUAUGUCUUGGGCUUCACGCAUGCUACAAUGGCCGGUACAGCGGGUUGCGAUGUCGUAAGGCGGAGCGAAUCCCUGAAAGCCGGUCUCAGUUCGGAUUGGGGUCUGCAACUCGACCCCAUGAAGUCGGAGUCGCUAGUAAUCGCGGAUCAGCAACGCCGCGGUGAAUGCGUUCCCGGGGCUUGUACACACCGCCCGUCACGUCAUGAAAGUCGGCAACACCCGAAGCCCGCGGCCUAACCUUUUGGGGGGAGCGGUCGA